UGGAAAUAGAUCCUGCAAAACGCGGGAUUCUGAAUUGGGAGACGCGAGUUCACAUCAUUGAAGGGGUUGCUCAGGGACUUCUUUAUCUCCAUCAGUACUCCAGAUUGAGAGUUAUUCAUCGAGAUUUGAAGGCUAGCAACAUUCUUCUGGAUAAAGACAUGAACCCUAAAAUAUCAGAUUUUGGAAUGGCAAGAAUUUUUGGAGGAAAUGAAUCAAAAGCAACAAAACAUAUAGUUGGGACUUAGUAAGUGAAUCCUAACGCAUUGUAAAAUAUGUGGACUGUCUCAUAACAUGCUUUUUUUCUACAUAUAUAUUUGUAAUCAUGCAAUUACUAAAUGAAUUGUUUUAAUAAUGAAUCCAGUGGCUACAUGUCCCCCGAGUAUGUUUUGCGAGGUCUCUUUUCAACUAAAUCUGAUGUUUUUAGCUUCGGGGUCUUGUUAUUAGAGAUUCUAAGUGGCAAGAAGAUUACUGAAUUUUAUCAUAGUGACUCGCUCAAUCUUCUUGGAUAUGUAAGUAACACAAAUUUCCUCUUAUGUAGCUAAAGUUAUCAUGUUUACUACUAUAUUUCAAGCUUUAAGUUACAUACUUGAAUGCAAUUGACCGAAUUAGGACUAUAUAUCUUUUUUUCUUUUUUCGGGAAUGUGCAUCAAAGUAUAAUUUUCUUUCCUUUAGGCAUGGGAUCUGUGGAAAAGCAACAGAGGACAAGAGUUGAUUGAUCCAGUAUUGAAUGAGAUAUCUUUGAGACAUAUUCUGUUAAGGUACAUCAAUGUAGCCCUUCUUUGUGUUCAAGAAAGUGCAGAUGAUAGGCCCACCAUGUCCGAUGUUGUCUCCAUGCUUGUCAAGGAAAAUGUACUUUUAUCUUCUCCAAAUGAGCCGGCCUUCUUAAAUCUAUCGAGUAUGAAACCACAUGCAUCUCAAGAUAGGCUUGAAAUUUGUUCCUUAAAUGAUGUAACACUUUCAAGCAUGGGAGCACGAUAAGUGUUCUAAAUUUCAGAUUGCAUAUGCUUAAAUGUCUUCAGCAUAUUGUCUAGUAUUAUUAUUGGCCAUCAAGUGGAUUGUUGAUGUACUGAACGUGUGAACUUUUGUAUGUAUUUUUCUUUCAAUGCAGUUCAAUAAUGUGCUUAAUUUUACUCAAUCCUCAAGGAUUCAGACCUGUAUCUCAUCUUCCCAUCUGUAAUUGCUACUGAAUCUGCUUUUAUGCAUUGCCAAUCCAGACACUAAAAUACAACCCUCAGAGCUUACUGCAAAUGUUCAACUAGUGCUAGGAAAGACGAGCUUUUGCGCAUGCUACAGCUAAGCAUAAGUACUAAUUAACAUAUAGGCAAGAGGGAAAGUGAGGAAGGAAAGCAGCUAUAGAUUUUUUUGCCUUUUAAACUGUGAUAGCAUCUAGCAUUUUUUUUAAGAGAAGAAAUAGUAUAAUUUAAUUGAGUACUCGUAAAACCUUCUUUUCUUAUUGGACAUGGUUUCAAUAAAACCCAUUUGGUUGCCAAGAAAUCUGAGGAAAUUCAGGAUGUGGAUGGGGAAUUUGAAGUCUACCUUCGUCCCUAUAGCUUAAAAUGAAAAGGCAUAGUUACAAACUAAGCUUACAUUCUGGCAGAAACGUAUAUAUUCCCUAUUGGGGCUUGCAGUAGGAGAUUGACCUGGAAGCCAACCAGAAAAGACAUGCAUCUAUGAUUAAAAGGAGCUCAUGCUCACAAGAAACUUUCUCUCUAUCCAAUGUGGGAUAUGACACCCUGAAGUAUGAAUAUCACUACUUACUAUUGCUAGCUAUGGACAAGGAAAAAAAAACAAGAGAAGGAAAAAAAACGAAAGGAGGAAUAAGCAAAAUGAUGUCCAAGGAUUCAAAAUUGUUUACAGUAAUUGGCCAGAAGCUAGAUCAAUUUCAUGAAAAUAUUUAAUUCCCCAAAAUUAAGAGUAAGUUUUUCCCAACAAAAUUGUUAUUUUUUUAAUUCCCUUAAUCCUAUGGGUUCAAGAACAAGCCGAGUCCAGUACGACUCGGCCGAGUCGGAUAGACUCAUACUCAAUCAGGAAUCGCUUAAACUCGGUUAACUCAACGGAGAUUCCGAGUUGACUCGGUUGAACCGUUCGUGUUAACAAAAGAAAUCGUUUUUUCACUUUCGAAUCUCAGCAGAGGAACAACAAACGAGAUGUAAACCUAAAAAACCUCUGAAAAAUCAAAGAUUGUCUUCAAAAGGAAAAGUUUCUCAACAACCAUGAUGAAGAGGAAGAAAGACAUCAGUCUAACCCAUGACUGAGUCUUGGAGGUGCACAAGAAGAAGAGGUUGAGGUAUUACUAACUUCAGAACAAUCAUGGAUGUGGAGCGCCUUCGAUGGUCCCGGUGUGGUAACUGGUGUGAUGAGAAGAUUCCCUCCAUUGACGUGAGCGGCCAUCGCUGCAUCUGGUCUCUCCUCUCUCUAAUUUUGGUCUCAGUUCUCGCCUGCUUCUGUCUGCCUCCCUCCCUCCCUCUCUCUCUCUCUCUCUCCCUGGUACGGGUGAGUUAGUGAUUUGAAGAAAGGGUGGCAAUCGGUGCCAGAAAAUUGGGGAUUUGAAGACAGGGUGGUCAAUGUUUUAAUAUCAAAAUUAUUUAUAAUUGUAUAUGUUAAUAUUAG
rnacentral:lncRNA from 1 species